rnacentral:rRNA from 1 species
UACGAAGGGGGCUAGCGUUGUUCGGAAUCACUGGGCGUAAAGCGCACGUAGGCGGCUUUCUAAGUCAGGGGUGAAAUCCUGGAGCUCAACUCCAGAACUGCCUUUGAUACUGGAGAGCUCGAGUCCGGAAGAGGUGAGUGGAACUCCGAGUGUAGAGGUGAAAUUCGUAGAUAUUCGGAAGAACACCAGUGGCGAAGGCGGCUCACUGGUCCGGUACUGACGCUGAGGUGCGAAAGCGUGGGGAGCAAACAGG